rnacentral:rRNA from 1 species
ACGGUCCUUCGCCCUUCGGGGUGAAGGAUAGUGGCGAAUGGGUGAGUAACGCGUAAGUAACCUGCCCCCAAGUAGGGAAUAACUCCGAGAAAUUGGAGCUAAUACCGUAUGCGGUCCUUCACUGUAAGGUGAAGGACUAAAGCCUUAGGGCGCUUGGGGAGGGGCUUGCGUCCGAUUAGCUAGUUGGUAGGGUAACGGUCUACCAAGGCGAUGAUCGGUAGCUGGUCUGAGAGGAUGGUCAGCCACACUGGGACUGAGACACGGCCCAGACUCCUACGGGAGGCAGCAGCAAGGAAUAUUGUGCAAUGGGCGAAAGCCUGACACAGCGACGCUGCGUGGGGGAUGAAGGCCUUCGGGUCGUAAACCCCUUUUCUCAGGGAAGAAUAAUGACGGUACCUGAGGAGUAAGUCAUGGCUAACUACGUGCCAGCAGCCGCGGUAAUACGUAGGUGGCGAGCGUUAUCCGGAUUUACUGGGCGUAAAGAGGGUGCAGGCGGUUCUUCAAGUCGGAUGUAAAAUCUCCCGGCUCAACUGGGAGGGACCAUUCGAUACUGUUGGGCUAGAGGGCAGCAGGGGGAGGUAGAAUUCCCGGUGUAGUGGUGAAAUGCGUAGAUAUCGGGAGGAAUACCAGUGGCGAAGGCGACCUCCUGGGCUGUUGCUGACGCUGAGGCCCGAAAGCGUGGGGAGCAAACAGGAUUAGAUACCCUGGUAGUCCACGCCGUAAACGAUGGACACUAGGUAUAGGGAGUAUCGACCCUCUCUGUGCCGAAGCUAACGCGUUAAGUGUCCCGCCUGGGGACUACGGCCGC